AGAGUUUGAUCCUGGCUCAGAGUGAACGCUGGCGGUAGGCCUAACACAUGCAAGUCGAACGGCAGCACAGGAGAGCUUACUCUCUGGGUGGCGAGUGGCGGACGGGUGAGGAAUACAUCGGAAUCUACCUUUUCGUGGGGGAUAACGUAGGGAAACUUACGCUAAUACCGCAUAAGACCUUCGGGUGAAAGCCGGGGACCUUCGGGCCUGGCGCGGAUAGAUGAGCCGAUGUCGGAUUAGCUAGUUGGUAGGGUAAAAGCCUACCAAGGCGAUGAUCGGUAGCUGGUCUGAGAGGAUGAUCAGCCACACUGGGACUGAGACACGGCCCAGACUCCUACGGGAGGCAGCAGUGGGGAAUAUUGGACAAUGGGGGCAACCCUGAUCCAGCAAUGCCGCGUGUGUGAAGAAGGCCUUCGGGUUGUAAAGCACUUUAGUUGGGGAAGAAGUUAAUUUGUUUAAGAGAUGAAUUAAUUGACG
rnacentral:rRNA from 1 species